AGUGAACGCUGGCGGUAGGCCUAACACAUGCAAGUCGAACGGCAGCACAGUAAGGGCUUGCUCUUACGGGUGGCGAGUGGCGGACGGGUGAGGAAUACAUCGGAAUCUACUUUUUCGUGGGGGAUAACGUAGGGAAACUUACGCUAAUACCGCAUACGACCUACGGGUGAAAGCAGGGGAUCUUCGGACCUUGCGCGAUUGAAUGAGCCGAUGUCGGAUUAGCUAGUUGGCGGGGUAAAGGCCCACCAAGGCGACGAUCCGUAGCUGGUCUGAGAGGAUGAUCAGCCACACUGGAACUGAGACACGGUCCAGACUCCUACGGGAGGCAGCAGUGGGGAAUAUUGGACAAAGGGCGCAAGCCUGAUCCAGCCAUACCGCGUGGGUGAAGAAGGCCUUCGGGUUGUAAAGCCCUUUUGUUGGGAAAGAAAAGCAGCAGGUUAAUACCCCGCUGUUCUGACGGUACCCAAAGAAUAAGCACCGGCUAACUUCGUG
rnacentral:rRNA from 1 species